GGCCAGUUAGCUCAGUCGGUUAGAGCGUAGUGCUGAUAACACCAAGGUCAUAGGUUCAAUCCCCGUUCAGUCCC
rnacentral:tRNA from 1 species